AGUGGUAAUUCUAGAGCUAAUACAUGCUAAACACCCCGACUUCGGAAGGGGCGUAUUUAUUAGAAUCAGAACCAAUGCCCUUCGGGGUUUCCUGGCGAUUCAUGAUAACUCCACAGAUCGCAUGGCCUUGCGCCGGCGAUGGCUCAUUCAAAUUUCUUCCCUAUCAACUUUCGACGGUACGGUCUUGGCCUACCGUGGUUGUAACGGGUGACGGAGGGUUAGGGCUCGACCCCGGAGAAGGAGCCUGAGAGACGGCUACUACAUCCAAGGAAGGCAGCAGGCGCGCAAAUUAUCCAAUCCCGACACGGGGAGAUAGUGACAAUAAAUACCAAUACAGGGCUCUUUUGGGCCCCGUAAUUGGAAUGAGUACAAUUUAAACCUCUUAACGAGGAACAAUUGGAGGGCAAGUCUGGUGCCAGCAGCCGCGGUAAUUCCAGCUCCAAUAGCGUAUAUUAAAGUUGUUGUGGUUAAAAAGCUCGUAGUCGAACCUCGGGCCUGGCCGGCCGGUCCGCCUCACCGCGUGCACUGGUCUGGCCGGGCCCUUCCCUCUGCGGAACCGCAUGCCCUUUACUGGGCGUGCCGGGGAGGCAGGACUUUUACUUUGAAAAAAUUAGAGUGCUCAAGGCAGGCCAAUGCUCGAAUAGAUUAGCAUGGAAUAAUAAAAUAGGACGUCGGCUCUAUUUUGUUGGUUUCUAGGACCGCCGUAAUGAUCAAUAGGGACGGUCGGGGGCAUCAGUAUUCGGCCGUCAGAGGUGAAAUUCUUGGACCGGCUGAAGACUAACUACUGCGAAAGCAUUUGCCAAGGACGUUUUCGCUGAUCAGGAACGAAAGUUAGGGGAUCGAAGACGAUCAGAUACCGUCGUAGUCUUAACCAUAAACUAUGCCGACUAGGGA
rnacentral:rRNA from 1 species